UACGUAGGGUCCGAGCGUUGUCCGGAUUUAUUGGGCGUAAAGAGCUCGUAGGCGGUUCCGUAAGUCAGAUGUGAAAACUCAGGGCUCAACCCGGAGACGCCAUCUGAUACUGCGGUGACUGGAGUCUGGUAGGGGAACACGGAAUUCCUGGUGUAGCGGUGAAAUGCGCAGAUAUCAGGAGGAACACCGGUGGCGAAGGCAGGUCUCUGGGCAUUAACUGACGCUGAGGAGCGAAAGCAUGGGGAGCGAACAGG
rnacentral:rRNA from 1 species